AUGGUUGCAAGACAACAACUUUACUGAAUUGCCUUCUGAUUUAUUCCAAGAUCUAAAAAGCCUGACAGAACUCUAUCUGUCAAAGAACAAGCUGAAGAGUCUGCCAAACGGACUUUUCAACAGCCUUUCCAAGCUGAUACAUCUGGAUUUGUCAAACAAUGAACUUGGAAAUCUGCCACCGCACAUCUUCAGAAACAUUACAGCGGUAGAAUUUCUG